AAACAUUGCUUUGAGUUUACAAACCAUUGAAAGUAUAACCUGCCCGGUGAUUAUUUUAACGGCUGCGGUAUCCUGACCGUACAAAGGUAGCAUAAUCAUUUGCCUUCUAAUUGAUGGCUAGAAUGAAGGGUUGAACCAUUGAGAAGCUGUCUCAGAAGAGCUUGAUAAAAAUUAUAGUGCGAGUGAAGAUCCUCGCAUAAAAAAGAAAGACGAGAAGACCCCAAGAGCUUACUAAUAGCAAGAAUUAAUCUUGCUAUAGCUUUUGUUGGGGCGACAAAAGAACAUAUAGCUUCUUGAGAAUAUAAAUAGAUAUAUAAGAUCCAGAAAACUGAAUAAGGGAAAGUUACCUUGGGGAUAACAGCUCAAUUAUCUUUUAGAGAUCUCAUCUAAAAGAUAGAUUAAGACCUCGAUGUUGGACUAAAGUAACCAGAAGGUGCAGAAGCUUUCUUAGGUAAGUCUGUUCGACUUUUAAAACUUUACAUGAUCUGA
rnacentral:rRNA from 1 species